CCACAUUUCCCUCAACUUCCUCCCCACAUAAUCCUACUGACUCAACUCCCUCAACUACAACAAUUCCUCAAUCUUUAUAUACACAACACAAAGACAACAUACAGAGGAGGACAGACAGAAGAUUGAAAAAAAAAGACAAGACACAAACUUGAAAAACCAAAAUUGAAAGAAACAAAGAGAGAAAAAGUAACGAGAAGGAUAAAAACACAAAGAAAAAAGAAAGAAAACAAAGGGAGAGAGAAAAGAAAGAGUUCCGAAUCGAGUAUCGAUUUUCGUUUGAGUUUGCGGUGACAACAUUCUUACUUUCAACUUUUGGUUAGUGUAUUACACAGGUUCUUACUCAAUUUCUUUAUAUUUAUUUUAUUAGAACUUUUCAUCAAAGCAUGAAGAAGAUAUUCAGAUUUUAUUAUGAUUAUAUUUUCGCACAGCAAAAUUAGAUAUUAAAUAUAUUCUAAAUCAGUUGCUCAAGUAUCAUGCCAGUUCAUGGGUUAGCUUGGGAUCAGAUGUGGUUACAAACAUCGUGUUACGAUUAGGGGUAGUCUCGGAUCGUGACACUUACACUCUUUUUGUAUGGUGGUUUGCCAUGGUUUCAUAACGUACUGUACAGUAUGGUAUGGUACAAUACUAUAUUUGGAUAGAUUGUAUCGUUCACUACUGUUUAAUAAUAAUUUUUUAUUUGGUUUGAUGGUAUGGUAUUGUAUCGUAACGGGUAAAUCUACUAAAAUACCCCUAAUAUAAUAUUAGUGUUCUCACCAUUAUUUUAUAGAACUGGCCUUUCUCUUGUUAGGUGUUUUCAUAUUCCAUAGCGUUCGUGUAACACCCAUCCGUUUCAGUGCAAAAUUUUAAUCAGCAAAAACUACUCCAUAAGAUUUUUAUGCUUGUGUUCUUUGAUAUUACUAUUUGACCAUUGCUUGUAAAAUCAUUUUGAAUUCAUAUUUCACUGAGAAUUUAUCUCCUUGGAGUUGCUUGAUGCUUGAGCACAGAAAACCACCAUCCAAACAACCUGUUAGGUACCUAUGGCUUUUUAUUUAGUUGUAAUUGCUCCUUAGUUCAAAUUUUACUAUUAAACGAAAAUGUCUUUACUGAAUAAAUGGAAGGUCCCGUCCCUAUUAAUUAGUAUACAUUUAAGAGUAUUAUUAUGAUUUUACUGAUCCUCAGAUAUACUUUUGUUACGUUAUAAAACAGUCUGUCUAUUGGGAGUUAUUACAUAAUUGUUAACUUAAUAUUUGACAUAUAAGGAUCUAAUCAGUUUAUAUGUUUUUUUUUUGUAAAGAAUGUUGUUUACUGUUUAAAUAUAGUAAAAUUGUGAAGCCUUAGUUAAGAUAUCGAUUCGUUCGCUUGGCUCAUUCUCUAUUCACUUUGUAAAUUCGUUAUUUUUCUUUUCUUUAAAUGAACCUCUAGACUUUUUUGAUGAGUAUUUGUCAUGUUAUGUUUGGAUAAUGAGAACAUUGACACAGAGAAAAUUCGUUUGUGAAUUGAAAAAUGAGUUUUAAGUUGAACUUUGUAACUGGUUGAUUGCUUUUUUUAGAGGGAGUGCACGUUAAGUUUGUUGUUGUUAUAGUAUUUGACCUGUGAUGUGUUGUCUUUAAAUAUAAACAUAUUACCUUGGUAUAAUUGGCAAAUUAAUCCUUCAACCCUUGAUCUCUUUUAAUAAAACCCUUAAUGACACCAACUAGACAAACCUUCAUGCUAUAUCAACUUUUGUUGAUAUAUAUAAUUAUAGUUUACUUUGUGAAUAUUGACUUCACUAUCCUAAAAUAUUGUACGGAGUACACGUUAUUGUUCAAAAUAGGGUGGCACCCGGGUCUUCCAAAUCCUGAAUCCGCCUCUAUUAGUUAGUAACAUCAAUUACAAAUUAUGUGUGUAUAUAUGACCACGUUGAUAUCUUUGUUCCUUUCAAAAAGUUUCUUCUUCCUAUCCACGUCUCACUAACACAAAAUCUUGAAAAACUAUUUAUGUAGUAGAUUUAGUCACUCUUUUGAUUUGUUAUCUCUCUCUCUUUUUUUCCUUCUUCCUCUUUCGUUUAAUUGUGUAAUCUCUCUCGUUAUUUUUUUUUUCCAGGGUAAUAUAAUGAAUGCGAAGAUUGGAGGAUUUUGAGAUAAAAGAGGUCAGCAAGGAAUUCUUCUUUAUGAAAAUACUAAUCAUCAAUUUUCUAUAAGAUUUUUUAAAACAGUAUUCAACUUUUGUCUCUUCAUCUAAUGAUAUUCUAAUAUUUGG
rnacentral:lncRNA from 1 species